rnacentral:lncRNA from 1 species
UCAAGUUACUCUUAUCAAAUAUAAAAUAACUUGUAAAUGUAUAUAUGUUUAGAUCAAUAAAAAUGAGCAUGUUUCACAUUACAUAUUUGGGAAAACGACUUAAAAGCCCAACGAAGUUUCAAAACCAUUUAAAAAAUCUCAAUCAUGUUUUGUCUGUUCAAAAAAACCCAACGAACUUAACCUUUUGUCUAAAAAGUCCAACAAUGUUCCAAACCGUUCAGAAAAUUUCAAUUUUGUUUUGUUUAAGUUCGUUGGUUUUUUUUUUAACAGUCAAAACAUGAUUGGAGUUUUUUAAACGUUUUGGAAACUUCGUUGGUCUAACAAGUCAUUUUAUCGAUACGGUAAUAAGCCACAUCAUCUAUUUCUCUUAUUUGACUUUUAGGAAAAUGUAACUUAGUUAGGUUUUUAAGACAAAAUGUUAAGUUUGUUGGGUUUUUUUGAACAGACAAAACAUGAGUGAGGUUUUUUGAACGGUUUGGAGACUUCGUUGGGCUUUUAAGUCAUUUUCCCUACAUAUUUUAAGGUCACAUCGUGCUACACUUACGCUUGACUUUCUCUGUAAAACUCCCACUCCCUUCUCUGGGUUCUCCCGCCCAUUCCGUCUCCAUCCUUUUAGGACGCCUGCCUUGCACUUUAACCUAUUUGUAAAGACCACACCCUUAUCGCUGCAACAACCCCUACUCAUGUCUAAAGUUUUAAGAAUGAAUUGUAAACAAGAAGAACAAAUACUAGAUUGCCUAACUCGCAACUUUAUUAUUGAAGAAACUUGCAACAAAACUUUAAUCUGAAUUAACAAAUUACAGGAUCCUAAUUAAUUGGUUUUAUACUAAACAAUCUUAU